ensembl:ncRNA K08B5.8 ncRNA
AUGUGAUUUGACUAUAUCCAUUAAUAUUAAAAAAUGAAUAAUGUCGCCAUCCUAUAGAAAUAAUGUUCCAUGUCAACCUCUUUCACGGUUGCCAUAGUU